rnacentral:rRNA from 1 species
CCCUUAGAUGUUCUGGGCCGCACGCGCGCUUCACUGAAGGGAUCAGCGUGUUUUCCCUUCCCGAGAGGGACGGGUAACCCGCUGAACCCCCUUCGUGGUAGGGAUCGGAGCUUGCAAUUGUUCUCCGUGAACCAGGAAUUCCCAGUAAGCGCAAGUCAUAAGCUUGCGUUGAUUACGUCCCUGCCCUUUGUACACACCGCCCGUCGCUACUACCGAUUGAACGUUUUAGUGAGGUAUUUGGACUGGGCCUUGGGAGGUUUCGGCCUCCCUUGUUGCUCGGAAAGACUCCCAAACUUGAGCGUUUAGAGGAAGUAAAAGUCGUAACA